rnacentral:rRNA from 1 species
UACGGAGGGUGCAAGCGUUGUCCGGAUUCAUUGGGUUUAAAGGGUGCGUAGGCGGCUUAUUAAGUCAGGGGUGAAAGACUGCAGCUCAACUGUAGCAGUGCCUUUGAUACUGAUGAGCUUGAGUACAGAUGAGGCUGGCGGAAUGGGUGGUGUAGCGGUGAAAUGCAUAGAUACCAUCCAGAACACCGAUUGCGAAGGCAGCCGGCUAAACUGUAACUGACGCUGAGGCACGAAAGCGUGGGGGAUCGAACAGG